GGCAGCAGGCAGUCAGGAUGCCUGCAGCAGCUCAACAUUCCUUGAUUGACAGUUCUGGCCGCCUAGUGAUGGAAGUGUCUCACUUCAGUCGCAGCAUUACUUUACAGACAAGUAAAAUGCUGUUCAUAUUUCCAGAGAAAGUUUUGAUGUCUCCAUUAAAAAAAAGCCAUUGUGUAGCCUAACCUAAUAACAGACGAACAAACAUGACGUUGCCCGAGGCGCUUUCAAGGGACCACAUUCUAUCUGAAAAGGGUAAUCGACACAGGCUAUCGGGUAGCCUACUGUAAUUUCAUAUUAUGAGACAAAAACACCCCCACCCCCUCAGAAACGAUGAGUACCAUGUGCGCGCGAGACUGUCCUGAAGAUACCCCUGUAUCCGACAUCGGCCCCAUGCAAAAAUUAGGAUAUUCUACAGGCAACCGACCGAAGACUGAACAAACACUUGCAUCAUUACAGUUCGUUUCAACCAGAAGCGGUGCCUCUGCUUGACAACUCUUUGCUCCAAAAGAUUGGCCAUUUCGUAGGCGUGGCGUGAACAUAUUCAAAUAUGGAAAGCUGUGAAAGCCUGUCUGCAGAUGAAUAAGUCCCAGUGAAUGUCCCAAGAGUCUGCUGGCACAUCAUUGUAUGCCAUGGGUUGUAUGUGUACUUACGUUAGCAAAUGUUGUAUACAACAAUACAGUUAAAAGUCACACACAAUGUACAAUGUAGCAUUACAACUGUAGCAGGUCAAUUCUUCUGCAGGUAUGCUGCGUGUGCAGGCUUCUGUUUCAGCCUAGCACCAACACACCCGAUUCAAUUUAUCAAACCUAAUGAGCUGAUAAUAGUUGCUAGACUGGAAUAGAAACCUCUUCACCCAGUAGAUCAGGGAGUGGAGGAAGGUUGGCCACCACUGAAAUUAUGUUUUAGUAAUAAUAGCCAACUUACUAAGAUGUUUAACAUUUACAAAUUCAUUUAUUUAAUUCAAUAUUGAUUCAUUGAAGUGAAGUGUUUAAACAUGAACUAGUGUGAAUGUACAUUCAGCACAGAUCACAAUUCUGCAAUAAAAAAGGCAUGAAGGGA